rnacentral:rRNA from 1 species
UACGUAGGGUGCGAGCGUUAAUCGGAAUUACUGGGCGUAAAGCGUGCGCAGGCGGUUAUGUAAGACAGUUGUGAAAUCCCGGGGCCUAACCCCGGAACUGCUUUUGAGACUGCAUGUCUGGAAUUCGGUAGAGGUUAGUGGAAUAUCCAGUGUAGAGGUGAAAUUCGCAGAUAUUGGAUGGAACACCAGUGGCGAAGGCGACUAACUGGGCCGACAUUGACGCUGAGGCACGAAAGCGUGGGUAGCAAACAGG